AUGAAAUUUGUAGCUAAUCAAAUUAAGAAUAACGAAUCCAAAGGGCUCCAUAGGGAAUACCACCUCUAUUUUGUACCACGCCGUAUAGUUGCCUGUGAGAAGAUUCUGGAGGAAGAGAAAGUUCAUCAAAAGUUGACAAUCGGAGAAUAUCCCUUGUAUCUAGUUCCUUUGGACGAGGAUGUCCUUUCUUUGGAGCUUGACUAUUCCUUGCAGGAAUGCCUUAUUGAAGGAUAUACAAGUUCUGUCUGGCAUGUUGCAAAAGCUAUCCAUAAGUUAGAGUUUGCUUUCGGGGUUAUCCCCAAUAUUAGAGCCAAGGGUGUAGCAUCAACCAAAGCUGCAGAAUUGCUGAACCAUAUGCAACUUGAAGACCCAGUCAGCAUGGAUAAUAUGGGGAUUCCAGAGAUAGACACCGUUAUUUUGCUAGACAGAGAGGUGGAUAUGGUGACACCAAUGUGCUCUCAGCUAACGUAUGAAGGUCUAUUAGAUGAGAUGUUGGAAAUUCAUAAUGGAUCUGUGGAAGUUGAUGCCAGCAUUAUGGGUGCUCAACAAGAUGGAAAAAAGGUCAAGGUUCCACUCAAUUCAAGACUCGAUGAUGGAGAUCAUGAUGAUGGAGAUCAUGGUGUCAUGCCGGUGACGAUGAUGAUCAUGGAGCCUCGAAGAUGGAGAUCAAAAGGAGCAAAAUGA
rnacentral:rRNA from 1 species